UACAGAGGGUGCAAACGUUGUUCGGAAUUACUGGGCGUAAAGCGCGUGCAGGCGGCCUUGCAAGUCGGAUGUGAAAGCCCCUGGCUCAACUGGGGAAGUGCACCCGAAACUGAAUGGCUUGAGUGCGAAAGAGGGUCGCGGAAUUCCCGGUGUAGAGGUGAAAUUCGUAGAUAUCGGGAGGAACACCGAUGGCGAAGGCGGCGACCUGGGUCGACACUGACGCUGAGGCGCGAAAGCGUGGGGAGCAAACAGG
rnacentral:rRNA from 1 species